AUUGAACGCUGGCGGCAGGCUUAACACAUGCAAGUCGAGCGGGGACUUCGGUCCUAGCGGCGAACGGGUGAGGAAUGCUUGGGAAUCUGCCCAGUAGCGGGGGAUAACGUUUCGAAAGGAACGCUAAUACCGCAUACGCCCUACGGGGGAAAGGGGGGGAUCUUCGGACCUCUCACUAUUGGAUGAGCCCAAGUCGGAUUAGCUAGUUGGUGGGGUAAAGGCCUACCAAGGCGACGAUCCGUAGCUGGUCUGAGAGGAUGAUCAGCCACACUGGAGCUGCGACACGGUCCAGACUCCUACGGGGGGCAGCAAUGGGGAAUAUUGGACAACAGGCGAAAGCCUGAUGCAGCCAUGCGGCGUGUGUGAAGAAGGUCUUCGGGUUGUAAAGCACUUUAAGCGAGGAGGAAUGGCUCUUGGUUAAUAACCUUGAGCAGUGACGUUACUCGCAGAAUAAGCACCGGCUAACUCUGUGCCAGCCGCCGCAGUAACAC
rnacentral:rRNA from 1 species